AGAGUUUGAUCCUGGCUCAGGACGAACGCUGGCGGCGUGCUUAACACAUGCAGGUCGAACGGAAAGGCCCUUCGGGGUACUCGAGUGGCGAACGGGUGAGUAACACGUGGGUGAUCUGCCCUGCACUUUGGGAUAAGCCUGGGAAACUGGGUCUAAUACCGAAUAGGACCGCGCGCUUCAUGGUGUGUGGUGGAAAGCUUUUGCGGUGUGGGAUGGGCCCGCGGCCUAUCAGCUUGUUGGUGGGGUAAUGGCCUACCAAGGCGACGACGGGUAGCCGGCCUGAGAGGGUGACCGGCCACACUGGGACUGAGAUACGGCCCAGACUCCUACGGGAGGCAGCAGUGGGGAAUAUUGCACAAUGGGCGCAAGCCUGAUGCAGCGACGCCGCGUGAGGGAUGACGGCCUUCGGGUUGUAAACCUCUUUCACCAGGGACGAAGCGCAAGUGACGGUACCUGGAGAAGAAGCACCGGCCAACUACGUGCCAGCAGCCGCGGUAAUACGUAGGGUGCGAGCGUUGUCCGGAAUUACUGGGCGUAAAGAGCUCGUAGGUGGUUUGUCGCGUUGUUCGUGAAAACUCACAGCUUAACUGUGGGCGUGCGGGCGAUACGGGCAGACUAGAGUACUGCAGGGGAGACUGGAAUUCCUGGUGUAGCGGUGGAAUGCGCAGAUAUCAGGAGGAACACCGGUGGCGAAGGCGGGUCUCUGGGCAGUAACUGACGCUGAGGAGCGAAAGCGUGGGGAGCGAACAGGAUUAGAUACCCUGGUAGUCCAA
rnacentral:rRNA from 1 species